rnacentral:tRNA from 1 species
GGCCUCAUAGCUCAGUUGGUAGAGUAUCCAAAUGGUAAUUGGAAGGUCUUGGGUUCGAAUCCCGAUGGAGACA